rnacentral:rRNA from 1 species
UACGUAGGGUGCAAGCGUUGUCCGGAAUUAUUGGGCGUAAAGAGCUCGUAGGCGGUCUGUCGCGUCUGCUGUGAAAAUCCAGGGCUCAACCCUGGACCUGCAGUGGGUACGGGCAGACUAGAGUGCGGUAGGGGAGAUCGGAAUUCCUGGUGUAGCGGUGGAAUGCGCAGAUAUCAGGAGGAACACCAAUGGCGAAGGCGGCCAACUGGUCCGGUUCUGACGCUGAGGCGCGAAAGCGUGGGGAGCAAACAGG